UACGGGGGGGGCAAGCGUUGUUCGGAAUUACUGGGCGUAAAGGGCCAGUAGGCGGCCAACUAAGUCGGAUGUGAAAUCCCCAGGCUUAACCUGGGAACUGCAUCCGAUACUGGAUGGCUUGAAUUCGGGAGAGGGAUGCAGAAUUCCAGGUGUAGCGGUGAAAUGCGUAGAUAUCUGGAGGAAUACCGGUGGCGAAGGCGGCAUCCUGGACCGACAUUGACGCUGAACGGCGAAAGCUAGGGGAGCAAACGGGAUUAGAAACCCCCGUAGUCC
rnacentral:rRNA from 1 species